AUGAUAACAUUCCAAAAUGUUGUGUGUAUAACUUCUAACCUGUCUUUGUUAGUUACCAUUGAUUUGAUUCCAACCCAUGGUGUGAUAGUUGGAGCUGUUCUGGCCACGGCCUCGGGUUACUUCGUCAGCAUUGACGUGCACUCUGAGGAGUGCUUUUUUGAGUGGAUCACCUCGGGCACCAAGAUGGGCCUCAUCUUCAAGGUGGUGGAGGGCAGUUUUCUGUACAUCGACGUAGAGAUCACAGGACCUGAUAAUAAAGGAAUCUAUAAAGGAGACCGAGAGUCCAGUGGAAAUACACAUUUGCUGCUCACAUGGAUGGAACAUACAAGUUUUGUUUUAGCAAUAGAAUGUCCACCAUGACUUCAAAGAUAGUGAUGUUCACCACUGAUAUUGGAGAGGCCCCGAAAGGACAAGACAUGGAAACAGAAGCUCACCAGAACAAGCUAGAAGAAAUGAUUAAAGAGCUAGCAGUGGUCAUGAUAGCUGUAAAGCAUGAACAGGAGUACAUGGAAGUCCGGGAGAGAGUACACAGAGCAAUCAAUGACAACACAAACAGCAGAGUGGUCCUUUGGUCCUUCUUUGAAGCUCUUGUUCUAGUUGCCAUGACAUUGGGACAGAUCUGCUACCUGAAGAGAUUUUUUGAAGUCCGGAGGUUGUUUAAAAAGCCUUUUUCUGAUGAUCCCAAACUCGUAACUCACUGUUUACCAAAUAUCUUGGUCACAAUAAUGUCAUUAGUUUCUACAUUUUUAUUUUCUGGCUGUACAUUCACAGCUUAUGUUUCUUUGUGAUGAAUAGAUAUUGGGGAGAAACACCUUUCUAAGAAAGUUGACGUUUGAUUGGCAUUAAUUCCUUAUUUGAAUUCCACCUCCAUCAUAUAGGUCCUUCUAGAACUCUGACCCCAUUAAUGAAAUACAGGAGCAUAGUCCUUGUGAUACCUUCCUUUUUUCAUAAUCAAAUGCAAUUUGUUCAGGAAAUCUGCACAAAUCCGGAACAGAAUGACUGAAAU